UACGUAGGCAGCGAGCGUUUGUUCGGAGUUACUAGGGCGUAAAGGUGUGUAGGCGGUUGUUUAAGUUUGGUGAUGAAAUCUCCCGGCUCAACUGGGAGGGUGCGCCGAAUACUGAAUGACUAGAGUGAGCGGGAGAGGAAAGUGGAAUUCCUGGUGUAGCGGUGAAAUGCGUAGAUAUCAGGAGGAACACCGGUGGUGUAGACGGCUUUCUGGACCGUAACUGACGCUGAGACACGAAAGCGUGGGUAGCAAACAGG
rnacentral:rRNA from 1 species